AUGUAAGACUGCUGAAAAAAGGUUGGAGAACAGUGGCCCUUGGAGAAAGAACAGAAGCACUUGAGGUUUGCCUCCAGGACAUCACACCUCCUAUUAAGCGCCUUUACAAAGCAGGAGAAAGAGUGAAAUGGAGGAAAAAAUACAUAGAUGGGUCAAGUAAGCAGCAGGAGCAAAGAGCAGAAGAGGAAAUAGGAAAGAAGAAGGGAGAGGAAAAGAGAGAGAGAGGAGAGAAGACAGAUGAGGAGGGAAAAGCAGUGGAAGAAGGAAGCAACAAAUGUAAAGGAGGA